GGGUAGGUUGAGGGAAAGGGGGAGCAAGUACUUGUACUCAGUAGUGUGUACUCAUGUUGUAUUUGUGGUCCAGCAGGAUGCAGAGUACGGGCAGGGUUACGCCCAGCAGGGGGCGCCAACCUCCUUCUCCAAUCAGAUGUGAGCGGACAGGAAGCAGAAAUCGUCGGAGUGAAUCCAGCCUGCAACCUACCCACAAUGCAACACUCCUGUCUGUUCCAGGGUGGUGGGCGGGGCUUAAAGGGGGGGGGGGUUAGAUGUUCACUAUAAUGAAUCGAUGUGUAAAUGAUAAAAAUAAAUUAUAAAUCCACGACUUGAACAAAGCUGACGAUGCUGACGAUGCUAACGAUAUUAAUGAGUGUGUGUGUGUGUGUCAUUAACAGAAUAUAUAUAGACCAGCUGUUCCAUGUUUCUAUUAGCCAAUGACCUGCCCCCUCCCCCUGUAUGCCCCGCCCCCAGGAUCCUCAGCAGCCAAUCACCACGGAGCAGUGCGUCCGUUCUCAUGACAUCACCUACCAGCUGUGCUGUUUGUCUUGCUGCAUGUAAAUAUCAACACAGGGAGUGAUGUCACUCAGCCGGUCUCCGUGGUGACGCUGGAUCCAAAAUGGCGUCCGGUCUUACAGUUACCAAAACAAAGGCCCGUCUGAAAAUCUUUAGGGAUGUUAUUGACUACUUAUUAUUUAUUAUUGACUAUUUAUUAUUCACUAUUUACUAGUUAUUAUUUAUAUUUAUUAUUAACUAGUUAUUAUUUAUAUUUAUUCUUACUUUCAUUUUUAACACUUUAUUUAUAAAAACAUGAAAACUGUUGUGUCUCUAAAUCUUCAGACGGGCGUUUGCCCCCCGCCCCCUCGGCUCUCAGCCAAUCAGCAGCAGCCGUGAGCUGUUUUGUUUACGUAAAGUUUCCGGGUCUGAAAUCGUGAUGCUUCUUCUUUGUUGGUUUUCCUGGGAAAGUGAAGUUUGUUCCUCCGCAUGGUGCCGUGUUUCCUGCUCGUGUUGUAGCUCCUGUACAGGUGUGUGUGUGUGUGUGUGUGUGUGUGUGUCAUCACUCCAUUGGUGUUUCUUCUUGUUCUGUUUUUAUCUUCCGUUCUUCUUCGUGAUUCUCCUCUGUGAUGUGACUUCCUGUGUGAGGCAUCAGUAACCAUGGCGAUGGUGAUGACAGUGAAAAUGAUUUGUGUAAGUGUGGUUGUGUGACUUGUUGCUAUGGAGAUGCUGUGUUAAUUCAAUGGAACGUUUCAAUAAACUACAAAGUGUCAGA